CCGUCCUUCCAGCCUGCCCCGGGGGGGUGCAAUACGGUUGGGUCUUGGGGGAUCGUCCGGGGGAUCGAUCCCGGACGAGCCCCGAAAGCUAGUUGACGGGGCCGGAUCCGGGCCUGGAGCGCAUGGGGUUCUGAGGGCGACAGCGUCCUCCCCGCUUUCCACAGACCGGAUCGGUGCUCCGUCCCCCGUCGAUAGGGGAAAACAACGAUGCCAUCAGG
rnacentral:misc_RNA from 1 species